UAGCAGCACGUAAAUACUGGAGUCUAGGAUGAUACAUUUGCCCUCCAGUAUUGCUUUGCUGCUUUA
rnacentral:pre_miRNA from 1 species